UACGGGGGGGGCAAGCGUUGUUCGGAAUUACUGGGCGUAAAGGGCUCGUAGGCGGCCAACUAAGUCCGACGUGAAAUCCCCAGGCUCAACCUGGGAACUGCGUCGGAUACUGGAUGGCUUGAAUUCGGGAGAGGGAUGCAGAAUUCCAGGUGUAGCGGUGAAAUGCGUAGAUAUUGGGAAGAAUACCGGUGGCGAAGGCGGCUCUCUGGACCGACACUGACGCUGAGGCGCGAAAGCGUGGGGAGCAAACAGG
rnacentral:rRNA from 1 species